rnacentral:lncRNA from 15 species
AGCCGGAGACGCUGGACUGCUGAGAGCCGCCUCAUUGUGUCGUUUGGACCCGGACUGGACGCACCGUCUCUCUCUCUGUCCGUCGGUGUCUCUCUCUCUCGCGGUGGAUUUAUACCUGAACGGGGCUCCGCUGCUCCCGGACGAGGAUUUUCCUGCCGGUUUCGGUCCCCGUUUAUUUGGGAAUAACCAGGAGCUGUUGUGGAUUAAUGUGGACUGUGUGUUCGGAUCCCGGUUCUCCUCUUCUUCUGAUCCGGAGGAUGUGGACUCAGAAAGCAGGUCACAUGACGCUUUCCAUUCAGCCGUACGGGGGCUCACGGGAAGCGUCUUCCAUGUGAGGCGAGAGACGGAGAUGUGUGAUACAUGCCAAAGGUCAGCCGUCAGAUGUAAAGCUGCAGCAGCAUGCAGAGCGUAUUCUGAACGUGUGCAGAGCGCGCUCUGAGGGUUUAACGCCGCUGUGGUGGAUGUGCAUGUGGUGACAGAUGUGACAGUUUUCCUGAAAGAAGCGGCUGCGGAUUUACACUUAUUAACCCGCCGAGUCUGCAGAGGGUGUGAGCGUGAAGCAGGACUGCGUGCUGGAUCAGAUCCAGUCUGCUGGAUCCUGAAUGUGUUUUGUAUGUAUGGAUGUGAAACCAGGAUGUCUAUUCAGAACUACAGGACUUCAUUAUGAUGCUGUGUUCUCACUCAUGUUACCUUUAUCAAUAAAUUGCAGCUGUGCAUAUUGUGAUCCUUUGUUUAGAUAAUGUUUUGAUUAAUUGUUUAGUUUUAAAGGCAGAUGUUGAAAUGGACUUUAAUAUAAACAGUAGACUGAAGGAUUCAUUUUCAGGGCUGAAUAGUAACAACAAAAGUCGUGUUCACUGAUUAAUAUGCAACCUACCUUUAAGUGUCAGUUCUGAAGCCUCCAGUUUGCCGUUAUGAUCAUUGCCAUGACAGUUAGUCGGAGCCAGCGGAGGUGAAACAGAUUUGAUCUGUUUUAAGUGUAUUUCUUUGGUGUGUUAUUUUUUUAUAUUUGCCUGCUUUAUGGUCUAUUUUACUCUAAAUGGGACCAUCAUUUACUAAAUGAACAUCAUGCUGUAUGGAAGAAGACUGAAACUAGAGACUGAGACCAUAAACUCACCAGGAAACUGUUUACUGAGCUAAUAAAUCAACUUCUCCAUAAGACUCAAUACUAUCUGCAGGUUUAAGACACUUCCUGGAAGCUCUGUCCGUUCUAUAUACUGCCAAUGCUUCCUGGCAUUAGAAGGUGUUAGAGUCCGACCAGAAUGGGAUUUAUGAUAGAUGUCUGUAACACAUCGGCCCAAAGAGACACUCCACCAGUGACAUAAGAGAUGGAUGCAAAAUUAUUGUACGAGUGCAGGAUUAGUCAUCAACUACUUUUAUUGUUUUUCAUGAAACUUUAAAAUAUCAUAAAGAAUACCGGAAACAGAACUUCCUGUCCCUGUUGGACAGAAACUGGAGACGACAGCACAAUACAGAGAUAAAAAUAUACAUUUUGACUUUAUAAUUGGUGUAAUCGAUGAGUCUAACCAUUCCUACACGACACAUUCUUGUUCACAAUCAACAGAAUUUCCAGAUCUCAGACCUCUGAAUGUGGUUCUGAGCGAUCGGGUCUCAGAGCAUCUUAAUUCAUUCACAUUAACUCUCAAAUGAGACUGUCUGCAUCCGCUUCUCCAAAAACCUGCUCACAGGUUCACAGCAAAGUUUCUGUGAAGUGAUAAAACUUUUUGUUCUGAUGAUAAUAAGACACGUAGUAGACCAUGUUCUCUCUGUGCCGCAUGCAGAAGUUCUCUAAAGUGAAGAGCUCCUGAGGGCUUUGUACUUCCUGUCUUUAAUCAGCUGUUUUUACUGCGCUUUGUUCCUCCUGAAGAAAAGCAUUUUAAACCUUGAAACAAUCACAUUGUAGAGUUUGAUUUGCUGCUGGAUGUUUCCAUGUAAAGCAGGACAUCUUUUUUCCUCCGAAACAAACACGAAGGUUGAGGAGCUCUGGGAGCUUUAACUGGAAGUGGCUGAUUUCCCCUGCCGCACGCCACCGACCAAAUCGCAGUGGAAUCUCA